UACGAAGGGGGCUAGCGUUGUUCGGAAUCACUGGGCGUAAAGGGCGCGUAGGCGGCUUUAUAAGUCGGGGGUGAAAGCCUGUGGCUCAACCACAGAAUUGCCUUCGAUACUGUAUGGCUUGAGACCGGAAGAGGUAAGUGGAACUGCGAGUGUAGAGGUGAAAUUCGUAGAUAUUCGCAAGAACACCAGUGGCGAAGGCGGCUCACUGGCCCGUAACUGACGCUGAGGCACGAAAGCGUGGGGAGCAAACAGGG
rnacentral:rRNA from 1 species